UGUCUAGAGUGGGGAUAAGAG
rnacentral:piRNA from 1 species